CCKKGSSSCSYSCUUUAAMMUGCAGUCGAACGAUGAUGGGAGCUUGCYCCUGGAUUAGUGGCGAACGGGUGAGUAACACGUGAGUAACCUGCCCUUAACUCUGGGAUAAGCCUGGGAAACUGGGUCUAAUACCGGAUAUGACUCCUCAUCGCAUGGUGGGGGGUGGAAAGCUUUUUGUGGUUUUGGAUGGACUCGCGGCCUAUCAGCUUGUUGGUGAGGUAAUGGCUUACCAAGGCGACGACGGGUAGCCGGCCUGAGAGGGUGACCGGCCACACUGGGACUGAGACACGGCCCAGACUCCUACGGGAGGCAGCAGUGGGGAAUAUUGCACAAUGGGCGCAAGCYUGAUGCAGCGACGCCGCGUGAGGGAUGACGGCCUUCGGGUUGUAAACCUCUUUCAGUAGGGAAGAAGCGAAAGUGACGGUACCUGCAGAAGAAGCGCCGGCUAACUACGUGCCAGCAGCCGCGGUAAUACGUAGGGCGCASGCGUUAUCCGGAAUUAUUGGGCGUAAAGAGCUCGUAGGCGGUUUGUCGCGUCUGCCGUGAAAGUCCGGGGCUCAACUCCGGAUCUGCGGUGGGUACGGGCAGACUAGAGUGAUGUAGGGGAGACUGGAAUUCCUGRWGUAGCGURAA
rnacentral:rRNA from 1 species